rnacentral:lncRNA from 1 species
CUUACAUAACAACAGUUGCUAUAGCCUGACACUUCCCAAUUUCCACAGCUUGGCACCGUUUCACCCUCAAGAUGACCACUUCCCAUUUGAUUAAUAUCUUCAGAGUUGUUUUCUUGUUCUGACCCUUAAGCAUUUUUCAGUGUGAUUUACUGUUGUGAGUAAAAACUUCAAUAUUACACCAAGUUUUUCCAACGUGCUCUUGGCUCAGUUGUGUUCCCAUAUCCCCUUGACCAGACUGCCCUAAUAACUGGAUUAUGGUAAUGCAAAGCCCGGGAUAGUCACUAAAAGUUCUCACUUCCUGGGGUUGGUUGAAGCAUUUGGUCUGAAAUUCAUCCCAUUAUCCUUAGAGAAAAAUCAGAUAAUAUAUUUGAGAAAAAACAAGGCAUUUUUAUUACGGGCUGUGUCAGGCUUUUGGCUGCAGUUUUGAUUAUUGUCCCUUAACAACUGCAAGAGAUGAAGAACAGAACCAAGAAUGGAAAAAGUCACACUCUGAAGAGUGCCCUAGAAGUGAAAACAAGCAAGCCAGUUACGUCAACAUAAUUCUGAAGAUUUUCAAGUGUAUACAGUAAAAGAAUGAAGGAGGGUAUAACAGGUUCAUAACAGGAAUGGAAGGUAAAUAUUUUUCCUGGUAGCUCUUCUGCCUUCUAACUCUCCUAGUUCCCUACCAGAGAAUCUUUCACUGGUCAAUCUUUCCACGCACUUGAAAAUUAUCCUGUGCUUUUCACUGGUCAGUCUUUCCACUCACUUGAAAAUUAUCCAGUACUCAUCAUGAAUACCCC